AUGGCCAUGGCGGCGACAGCGGGGCUGUGGGCGGAGGUGCCGGUGCGGCUGGACUGGGCGACCGUGGCCGCGCAAUGUUCAUUGGCCGGGGAGCAAGCGCGGGCGUUCCUGGUGGUGCCGGCCCUGCGGCUGCUGGUGCUCCUGUCGCUGGCCAUGACCGUGAUGAUCCUGCUCGAGAAGCUCUUCGUCGCCGCCGUGUGCUACUCCGCCAAGGCCUUCAGGCACAGGCCCGAGAGCCGGUACCGGUGGCGGCCGAUCACCGCAUCAGCAUGCAAAACUGGCGGCGAUGACGAGGAGGACGGCAUUGUCGUCGUCGGCAGCGGCAGUGGCAGGGCGGCGUUCCCCGUGGUGCUGGUGCAGAUCCCCAUGUACAACGAACGCGAGGUGUACAAGGUGUCAAUCGGAGCGGCAUGCGCGCUGGAGUGGCCGUCGGACCGCAUGGUGAUCCAGGUGCUUGACGACUCCACCGACCCCGUUGUAAAGGAGUUAGUGAAGACCGAGUGCCAGAGAUGGAAGGGCAAAGGUGUGAACAUCAGGUACGAGGUCAGAGGAAACCGCAAGGGGUACAAGGCCGGUGCGCUCAAGCAAGGGCUGAUGCGCGACUACGUGCGGGAGUGCGAGUUCAUCGCCAUGUUUGACGCUGACUUCCAGCCUGAGUCUGACUUCCUCCUGCGGACCGUCCCCUUCCUUGUGCACAAUCCCGACAUUGCCCUCGUCCAGACUCGCUGGAAAUUCGUUAAUUCGGAUAAGUGUUUGUUGACAAGGUUCCAGGAGAUGUCAUUGGACUACCAUUUCAAGUUUGAGCAGGAGGCUGGGUCCAUAGUGUACUCGUUUUUUGGCUUCAAUGGAACAGCUGGUGUUUGGAGGAUCUCGGCGAUCAAUGAUGCCGGGGGGUGGGAGGACCGGACGACGGUGGAGGACAUGGACCUGGCUGUUCGUACAUCGCUGCUGGGCUGGAAGUUUGUGUAUGUAGGCGCCGUCAAAGUCAAGAGUGAGCUGCCAAGCACAUUCAAGGCAUACCGAUUUCAGCAGCACAGGUGGUCAUGUGGACCAGCAAACCUGUUCAAGAAAAUAUUGUUAGAUAUUCUAAAGAACAAGAAAGUGUCAUUUUGGAGCAAACUCCACCUGCUGUAUGACUUUUUCUUCGUUGGGAAGAUCGCUGCUCAUACAGUGACAUUCAUCUACUAUUGCUUUGCGAUCCCGGUGUCCGUUUUCUUCCCUGAGAUUCAGAUACCUCUCUGGGGUGUGGUCUACGUUCCAACUGUUAUCACCCUCUGCAAGGCUCUUGGAUCACCAAGUUCAUUUCAUCUGGUGAUCCUUUGGGUCCUCUUUGAUAAUGUGAUGUCAUUGCACCGGAUAAAGGCCACAAUAACUGGUCUUCUCGACACUAGACGAGUCAAUGAGUGGGUUGUCACUGAGAAAUUGGGAGAUGCCAACAAGACAGAGCCAGCCAUGGAAAGAUUAGAUGAUGUGCAAGUGAUUGAUGUCGAGCUAUCGACGCCCCUAGUACCAAAGCUCGAGAAGAGGCGAACACGAUUAUGGCACAAGUACAACUGCUCAGAGAUUUUUGUUGGAACCUUCAUAAUUAUAUGUGGAUGCUACGAUGUGCUUUACGCAAAGAAAGGAUACUACAUCUACCUCUUCAUUCAAGGCCUAGCAUUCCUCGUCAUCGGUUUUGAGUACAUUGGGACACGCCCUCCUAGCACUGAAUAA
rnacentral:rRNA from 1 species